GUUACCUGGUCUUGUUUACCCUUGGUUUAUUACCUCUUCAGCCAGAAACAUGCUAGCCUCAUCAUUAUCGCUUGGUACCUGGUAUGAGAGGAGGGGGGUUUGUAACUGAUAACUGUCUGUUUACACAUUCCAAUUCCUGUCCUUGGCUUUUGAGGUCGAUUAGAGUUAAACAUGGAAGGACAGAGUUUAAACAUGGAAGAACUUUGGCUCAGGCAGCCUAGUAACCCCAACAAUACCAUUAUCUCACUAUGUAAGGGGGACUGUUGUCCCCUUACUAACAUUCAGUGGGGGUGUUUUGGUUGCUAACUCCCAGUACUAAAAGAAAGGGGAAGGGUCGCUGGGAAAUCAGGGCCCUGAGACUGACAGUCUCCAGGGGCAAUGGAGAGAGGCCAAUGCUUCAGGUCAGCCUGAUUGACAGGGCGGGCAGGCUAAUCAGGGAGUCAGGACGCCAGGGUGGGGUCCGGUCCUGCAUGUGAGCUGGAAUUGCCUGGAUAAGACAGGGUGGGGCUGAGCUAAGGAGAAAGCAGGGGCCCAAGCUGAGUGGGGGAGCAGAGCCGUGCCAGCCAGAGGGUCCAGACAAGCAGCCAGGAAGCAGGUCAGUGCUGGGAGCAGAGUCGCAGAAGCAGCCUACAGAGCCAACCUGCUCGGGGGAAGAGCUGCAGCCACAGAACCAGAGACAUAGCCCAGAGAGAGCAGCUCCUGAGCUUUGAGCAGAGCUGCAGCCACAGAGCCAGGCAUGCGUGCAAAAUGCAAACAGUGCAACAAAGAAAUGCAAGGCCUGGUUGCCAUCAUGAAAAAACAUCAUGAGAAGUGUUCCUUCUCAGAAGGAAGCUGUGUUGAAGAUGAUGGAACAUCGCUUCAGGAGAAUCCAUCCUCAACAUACAGGAUUCUGAAGACUAUCCACCUUCAAGAUCACCAUAAU